CGUUAGCCCAUCAGUCCAGUCCAGUACUACAAAAACUAAAGACUGAAGUUACGACGCCUCUACCCUCUUUCUUUCGCUCGGUUGCCCUCCUUAACACCUCCUACCAAAUCGACGAAUCGGUUUUCAGACAAAAUUCAAGCUCGAUUUAGAACGAGAUGUGAAGCUUUUAGGGUUAUAAAAUUUUAAUGAUGUUAUCGAAAACAUCAUCGUGAGGCAAUCGAUCCUGAUUAGGUCCCUUUGACCUUUCUAUUUCUUGUACAUCAUACUGAUCCCUCCCAGCCGUCACCGACUUGAAUCUCACGGCCUCAUCGGAGUCCUGAAGUGACUUAACGAUCCGUUGACCGAAGACGAAUAUAUCUCACCUAACACGUCACCUGGUGGCCUUUGUCAGUUUGUUUCGUGUAAGGGAUUUGAGUUUUGAUUUGGUUUGAAGAUGAGGGAUCGCAAAUAUUAUCCGGGUACCAACUUCUAUGUGGAUCCCAGAUAUUCGGAUGUAUACUCAUUUGGUAUGACACAGGACAACUCUCUAUACAUUGGAAAGCAAUGAGAUGAUUUCCAAAUAUGCUACCAAUGGAAGCCUUGACCCUCAUCUUUGAUGUUUGUUUAAACAUUAACCGGUUUAAUGGUUAAUGUGAUGAAGGCGUUGAGAUGAUUAUAGUUUAUGAGGAUGCUGUUAAUAGAAGCCUUGACUAUCAUCUUUAAUGUUGGCAAAACCAUAUAGGUGUGGUCAUUACUUUCAUUGGUUAUUGUGAUGAAGGCAAUGAGAUGAUUAUAGUCUACGAGUAUGCUAGCAAUUGUAGCCUUGAUGAUCAUUUCAAGACUCCUGUAAAAGUUCAACAUGGAUACAACGUCUCAAGAUUUACUAAGUGUAGCAAGCGGGCUCAACUAUAUGAUUAUCUUCAGUUGAGAGAAGGAUAACAAAGUAAUACACAGAGACAUCAAGAGUCAAGAGUGCUAACAUAUUGUUAGAUGAAAAUCUAGAAGGAAAAAUUAUGAUUUCAUUCAUUCAAAACAAUGCCCCAAACGCCAACAACGUAACACAACAUGUCUAUAUAAAUAUCGUUUUUAAAGAGUCAGAUGUAUACUCCUUGGUAUGGUAUUGGAUCAACAAACACAAGUCUAACCAACAUUAGUUAAGGAAAGAAAAGGUCAAAUCCCUAGGGGGUACUUUGUUUGCUAAUGGGUUAGUGCUUAUAUUGUUCAUUUUUUUCAUUUUUUUUACAUCGGAUGAUUGGUUGUUGAAUAUGAACAAUAAAUAUAUGUAUUUAUUGGA